rnacentral:rRNA from 1 species
CGCCCUUCAGAGGGGGACAACAGUUGGAAACGACUGCUAAUACCGCAUACGAUCCGACCUCGGCAUCGAGGAUGGAUGAAAGGUGGCCUCUAUUUAUAAGCUAUCACUGAAGGAGGGGAUUGCGUCUGAUUAGCUAGUUGGAGGGGUAACGGCCCACCAAGGCAAUGAUCAGUAGCCGGUCUGAGAGGAUGAACGGCCACAUUGGGACUGAGACACGGCCCAG